GACGAACGCUGGCGGCGUGCUUAACACAUGCAAGUCGAACGAAGUGGCGAACGGGUGAGUAACGCGUAAUCAACCUGCCCUUCGGAGGGGGACAACAGUUGGAAACGACUGCUAAUACCGCAUACUGAAGGAGGGGAUUGCGUCGGAUUAGCUAGUUGGAGGGGUAACGGCCCACCAAGGCGAUGAUCAGUAGCCGGGCUGAGAGGGUGAACGGCCCAAUUGGGACUGAAACACGGCCCAGACUCCUAAGGGAGGCAGCAGUGGGGAAUCUUCCGAAAUGGACGAAAGUCUGACGGAGCACAGCCGCGUGAGUUAUGACGGCCUUCGGGUUGGAAAGCUCUGUUAAGCGGGACGCGGUACCGGAAUAGAAAGCCACGGCUAACUACGUGCCAGCAGCCGCGGUAAUUC
rnacentral:rRNA from 1 species